UGUGGGAGCGGGCUUGCUCGCGAUUCGGACGGCGCGGUUGUUCAGGUAAACCGGGGUGAUGCCAUCGCGAGCAAGCCCGCUCCCACA
rnacentral:misc_RNA from 1 species